rnacentral:rRNA from 1 species
UACGUAGGUGGCAAGCGAUACUCGGAAUCACUAGGCGUAAAGCGCAGGUAGGCGGUUUGGUAAGUCUUUUGUGAAAGCUCCCGGCUUAACUGGGAGAGGUCAAGGGAAACUACCGGACUAGAGUGUGGUAGGGGAUACUGGAAUUCCUGGGUGUAGCGGUGAAAUGCGUAGAUAUCAGGAAGAACACCCGUGGCGAAAGCGGCUCUCUGGAACGGUACUGACGCUGAGGAGCGAAAGCGUGGGGAGCGAACAGG